GAUGAACGCUGGCGGCGUGCCUAAUACAUGCAAGUCGAGCGAACAGAUAAGGAGCUUGCUCCUUUGACGUUAGCGGCGGACGGGUGAGUAACACGUGGGUAACCUACCUAUAAGACUGGGAUAACUUCGGGAAACCGGAGCUAAUACCGGAUAACAUUUGGAACCGCAUGGUUCUAAAGUGAAAGAUGGUUUUGCUAUCACUUAUAGAUGGACCCGCGCCGUAUUAGCUAGUUGGUAAGGUAACGGCUUACCAAGGCAACGAUACGUAGCCGACCUGAGAGGGUGAUCGGCCACACUGGAACUGAGACAGGGUCCAGACUCCUACGGGAGGCAGCAGUAGGGAAUCUUCCGCAAUGGGCGAAAGCCUGACGGAGCAACGCCGCGUGAGUGAUGAAGGGUUUCGGCUCGUAAAACUCUGUUAUUAGGGAAGAACAAAUGUGUAAGUAACUGUGCACGUCUUGACGGUACCUAAUCAGAAAGCCACGGCUAACUACGUG
rnacentral:rRNA from 1 species